CCCCCUGCUAGAUUUUUCAUGAAAUCAAACUUCUCCAAUGGAUCAUCUUCGGACAAGCUUCCACAUCAGGCGAAUCCCGGAUGGACUUCUCUAGCAAUCAGAUUCCUAUCGGGCUUCACCAAUGGAAAGUCUCCAUCCGAGCUUCUACAGUAGAUGACUCCCACCUGUAGUAUCAGUGCCUAAGAUAUCCGACAACAGUAGACUCAU
rnacentral:lncRNA from 1 species